CAGAGUGUAGCUAAGAAGCAUAGCAUCUCCCUUACACCGAGAAGACACCCGUGCAGUUCGGGUCACGCUGA
rnacentral:tRNA from 1 species